rnacentral:lncRNA from 1 species
UUCCUCCUUUAUGUCCCUUUAUAUAACUUCAAAUAAUGAUGGAGAGCAAUCUGGACUAAAAUAGAGCCGUUAGAGUACAUUAAAUGAGCAUUAAAUAUAAUUAAAAUAAGUUAAAAACUAGCCGUUACGAAACUUUUUCGUCACAAGGGUCGACUCAUAGGGUCGACUCAUGCUCAUGGGUCGACUCAUAGGGUCGACCUCUGUGGAAUAGAACAGAAAAUAACUGUUCUAUAAUUUUGACCUGCAAAGCAGCAGAGAUCGACUCAUAGGAUCGACUCAUGCCAAGGGAUCGACUCACAGAGAGUGCCAGCCAAAAUUUCAGCGUGUCGUUCAGCCCUUUAAGCCAUGAGUCGACUCAUGGGAUCGAUUCAAAAAUAAAAAUCUGAUUUUCUUACAAAAUAUACUUUCAAAAAUGUUAAAAUUUUUUCCAAUAGAUUGUACAUCUUCAGUUCUUGCUCUUGAGGCUUCUGAAUCAGGUCUUGACAAAAUUAUGAUUUUAUCCUUGAAAUACAAUAAGUCUUUUUUCAAGCCAGAAUCAUUAGUAAUCUCCUCAAAUACUUUGUAAUCAUCAAAAUCAAUUCAAGAAGCAAUAAUCUCCCUCUUUUUGAUGAUGACAAAAUAUUUGAGCAAAAGCAUAUAGAAAGUAUUGAACAUUAAUUUUAAAUUUAUGAAGAUGCAUCACUUAGAUAUUAUUGCCAAGUAUUAGAACGAAAAACAUCAUAAGCAGUUUAAGGAAUAAAUUUGAGAUUUGCUGUAAAUCUGAAAUUUGCUUAUAAGUGCAUUUGACACAUGACACAUGUGUUGUUCAUUCUUUAACGCUCUUAUUGCUUAAUCAAAAUCUUCUUCUCGAUUUUUGAAUUGGUGCUUAAUGUGCAAUCUUUAUUGCUCUUAUUGCUUUGCUCAAUCUCAAUCUUGAUUCUCUACUCCUUUUUUACAGUAUAAAUUGAGAUUCUCUACUCCCUCUUUUUUUGAAUAUAUUUUCUUUAUUCCUUCUUUUUGAUGGGAUCAAUUUUACAUUUUUAGCUUCCUUCUUUAUUGCUUAUUAUUUUACUUCCCCUCAAUAUAACAAUCAUAAAAAUAUAUAUCAAUUUGCUCAUUGAAAAGAUAUUGCUAUUCAAGUAUUUCAGAAUUUAAAACUAUCUUCAUUUGAUCAGAGAUAUUCAUUGAAAGUUAAAGUAUAUAUAUAUAUAUCCAAAAGAUGAGUGAAUACAAAGAUGUUUCAAUACAUAAGUGUUGACUUAGAGUACAAAAGACAUGGAUAG